rnacentral:ribozyme from 1 species
UGCCCAGCAACUCCUAACCCUACCUUCUCGCGGUACCGGCCGGAAACUAUGAGCAACCUUAGGGAAGAUCGGCUAUCCAACCCCGGUGGGAACUUUGGUCGUAUCUGACAGGGAAGG